rnacentral:rRNA from 1 species
AUUGAACGCUGGCGGCAGGCCUAACACAUGCAAGUCGAACGAGUGGCGGACGGGUGAGUAAUGUCUGGGAAACUGUCCGCUGGAGGGGGAUAACUACUGGAAACGGUAGCUAAUACCGCAUACCAUCGGAUGUGCCCAGAUGGGAUUAGCUAGUAGGUGGGUGAACGGCUCACCUGGGCGACGAUCCCUAGCUGGUCUGAGAGGAUGACGCGCCGCACUUGAACUGAGACACGGACCAGGCUCCUACGGGAGGCAGCGGUGGGAAAUAUUGCACAGGGGGCGCAAGCCUGAUGCAGCCAUGCCGCGUGGAUGAGGAAGGCCUUCGGGUUGUAAAGUACUUUCAGCGAGGAGGCGUUACUCGCAGAAGAAGCACCGGCUAACUCCGUGCCAGCAGACGCGGUAAUGC